AUCAUUUAAAUUGGAGGAUUUCUUUUAUAAGUAUGGAAAGUUUAAUAACCAGAUUUUAUACAAAACAUAAAAGGAAGGACUUGAAUAGCAAAUAUGGGAGUUAGGAGGACAAGUGUCAUUGUAGAGGCCAUUUCUUCAUUUUCUAUUCAUAUAGACACAUACAUCCAAAAUGCUGAAAUGGGAAAAAGAAGCCAGGAAAAAAAAAAUUGGAGGUGUCGGCCAACGAUGCAUAGGAGGGAAGAUACACUUCUUCAAGUAUUGGGUUGUCUUUCAUAUCCUCAUUCCUUCUACAAUCUCAAGUGAGUAAGUUUUAUACAAACUUAGAUUCCUUAUUUUGGGUCAACAAGUGGAAAAUAAGCCCAAUUUCUUGACGGUCUAGUAUGGAUAAACUAUUUUUUUUUUAAAGCUUUUAAGUUAUGUGAAUCAAAUAUAUAUUAAUUCUGGGGUCGGAACUUUGUGGACAGAAAUUCAGCUAGUAGUUGGGUUAGAAUUGAAAUUUAAAUAAAGAAACCAAAAGGCAAGUGAAGAAUUGUCAAUUAAUGAUUUGUUUGGUACCUGUAUAUGUAUGUGUAUAGUGACUGAAAUUAUUAAAAGGGGGACAUACCUAAUUACAUAGCUUGAUGCAAGUGUGGGAAGUUGUAAAUUGGUGAAGAAAGAGAUGAAAUAGUGUUUAAUUGGAAUUAAAUUUAGCUUAAAUGUGGUAAGUUCUUUAUUUAAUUAAUUUUAUUAUUACAGUAGCAAUGAAAAGGGAAAGGAUGAAAAGUGUAGAUAGAAGAUGUUGGAAGGCAAUAUGUUAUUGUGCUAAUAUCGUAGGGAAAUGAAUGUGGAAGAAGAAUAUAUUCUGUAAAUAAAUAUGGCUUCGUAAACAAAAAAAUGUUAUGCUGUAUGGAAAUUAAAAAGGGAAUAAAGGGAUUGCAUAAGGAAUGGAUUAAAUUGUGUAAAACGGUUAUAUAUUUAUAAGGUAGUGAUUUUAAGAAAGUAUAGUAAUUUAAUGGAUUUGAUUAUGAGUUGUGAUAGUUUGGCAAAUAAUCAAAGAGGAGAAGAGUUGGAGAAAUAGAGGUGAAGGUAAACAUGGAAGCUAAGGAAUUAUGUGGCGGAUUAGCAUUGAUUUAAUUGGCAAGUUUUAAUUUGAGUAAUUAUACUGUUAUUUCAGGUAGUGACAUGCAAGCUUGGAAAUGCUCGUCAAUUUAAUCAAAUUUAUAUCCAUAUAUCAGUGAGUGGAAAAAUAUAAAUAUUAUUAAAAUAUUUAUAAAUUAAGUAUAUUGUUAAAGUAAGUGCAAUUAUAUGCAAUUAUGUGUUCGAAUUACAUGAUUAUUAUGGAAAUAUCUUUUAUUAUGAUACAUGUGGGAUUUCAAAGAUUGUAGACGGUACAUUGUGAAUUGGAAUAUGAGAUGUGAUUUUGAGGUCGACCAAAAAAGUACCCGUGAUUAUAUACUUCUAGUUCACAGAGGGGCAUUGCUGUAUUCUAUCCUACACGGAGGGUCUUGACCUGACAUUGGUCUUGAUCGUGUACAUAUAGUUCACAGAGGGGCCUUGGCCGUGUUCUAGAAUUGAUUAUGAGAGGUCUUUGAGACCAGCUUUCGUUCACGGAGGGGGCCAAAGGCCCGUGGUGAAAGUUUUUAGCCCGAGGGGCAGAUUACAGAUUUUAGUCAGAUGGUACAUUUUUCGUGGAUUUUUUAGUAUGUUUGGUGUGAUGAGAUUAUAGCGUGGUUAUCAGCUAAUAUUUAUAUCAUGAUUUUAAGAUGAUAUUUUACGAGCUUAAGUGAAUAUUUCACUUUUGGUUAUAAUUCACAAGAUUACAUUAUGUUAUCUUGUGA
rnacentral:lncRNA from 1 species